ACAUUUUGAAUUCUAAAAAAAACUCUGGCCCUAUCACUUGAUAUCUGAUACGACCCCCAUGUAGGGUCAACGAUAUUAAUCCAAUUUUUGGAUCAUGGCGCAGUGCUAGGAGCUUGCUCCAUCUUUGCCGCGGAUCGGCCCGGUAUUGCACUACCUCCGGGAUCGGUCCACGAAAU